UGGGGGAUAUUGCGCAAUGGGGGCAACCCUGACGCAGCAACGCCGCGUGAAGGAUGAAGGUUUUCGGAUUGUAAACUUCUUUUAUUAAGGACGAAAAUUGACGGUACUUAAUGAAUAAGCUCCGGCUAACUACGUGCCAGCAGCCGCGGUAAUACGUAGGGAGCAAGCGUUGUCCGGAUUUACUGGGUGUAAAGGGUGCGUAGGCGGCUUUGCAAGUCAGAUGUGAAAUCUAUGGGCUCAACCCAUAAACUGCAUUUGAAACUGUAGAGCUUGAGUGAAGUAGAGGCAGGCGGAAUUCCCCGUGUAGCGGUGAAAUGCGUAGAGAUGGGGAGGAACACCAGUGGCGAAGGCGGCCUGCUGGGCUUUAACUGACGCUGAGGCACGAAAGCGUGGGUAGCAAACAGGAUUAGAUACCCUGGUAGUCCACGCUGUAAACGAUGAUUACUAGGUGUGGGGGGUCUGACCCCUUCCGUGCCGGAGUUAACACAAUAAGUAAUCCACCUGGGGAGUACGGCCGCAAGGUUGAAACUCAAAGGAAUUGACGGGGGCCCGCACAAGCAGUGGAGUAUGUGGUUUAAUUCGAAGCAACGCGAAGAACCUUACCAGGUCUUGACAUCCAACUAACGAAGUAGAGAUACAUUAGGUGCCUUUCGGGGAAAGUUGAGACAGGUGGUGCAUGGUUGUCGUCAGCUCGUGUCGUGAGAUGUUGGGUUAAGUCCCGCAACGAGCGCAACCCUUGCUAUUAGUUGCUACGCAAGAGCACUCUAAUAGGACUGCCGUUGACAAAACGGAGGAAGGUGGGGACGACGUCAAAUCAUCAUGCCCCUUAUGACCUGGGCUACACGCGUACUACAAUGGAUGUUAACAGAGGGAAGCAAGACAGUGAUGUGGAGCAAACCCCUAAAAACAUUCUCAGUUCAGAUUGCAGGCUGCAACCCGCCUGCAUGAAGAUGGAAUUGCUAGUAAUCGCGGAUCAGAAUGCCGCGGUGAAUACGUUCCC
rnacentral:rRNA from 1 species